GGGAAUCCAUGCCUCAUGCUGCUCUCCAGUCUACUCUGGGUGUUCCUGGCCUUCACCUUCUCUGGAUCUGGUGUGGCCCAGAAAGUUACUCAAGACCAGCCAGACAUAACCAGUCAAGUGGGGCAGUCAGUCACUCUGAACUGUCAGUAUGAAGUAAGUUGGUACAUGAUCUCCUACUCCAUUUUGUGGUACAAGCAGCUUCCCAGUGGACAGAUGACUUACCUUAUUCGUCAGUAUUCAGAAAAUGGGAAUGCAAGGGACGGCCGCUACUCUGUAAACUUCCGGAAAGCAGAUAACUCCAUUAGCCUCACCAUUUCAGCCUUAUAG